rnacentral:rRNA from 1 species
GGAAUAUUGGUCAAUGGCCGAGAGGCUGAACCAACCAAGUAGCGUGCAGGACGACGGCCCUACGGGUUGUAAACUGCUUUUGCGGGAGGAUAAAGGACACUACGUGUAGUGUUUUGCAGGUAUCCCGUGAAUAAGGACCGGCUAAUUCCGUGCCAGCAGCCGCGGUAAUACGGAAGGUCCGGGCGUUAUCCGGAUUUAUUGGGUUUAAAGGGAGCGCAGGCUGAUUGUUAAGCGUGACGUGAAAUGUAGCCGCUCAACGGCUGAACUGCGUCGCGAACUGGCAGUCUUGAGUGAGUACGACGUCAGCGGAAUUCGUGGUGUAGCGGUGAAAUGCUUAGAUAUCACGAAGAACCCCGAUUGCGAAGGCAGCUGACGAGUCCUUUACUGACGCUAAAGCUCGAAGGUGCGGGUAUCGAACA